rnacentral:rRNA from 1 species
UACGAAGGGGGCUAGCGUUGCUCGGAAUUACUGGGCGUAAAGCGUGCGCAGGCGGUUCGUUGUGUCGGUGGUGAAAGCCCCGGGCUUAACCUGGGAAUGGCCAUGGAAACUGGCGAACUGGAGUGUGGCAGAGGGGGGUGGAAUUCCGCGUGUAGCAGUGAAAUGCGUAGAGAUGCGGAGGAACACCGAUGGCGAAGGCAGCCCCCUGGGCUGACACUGACGCUCAGGCACGAAAGCGUGGGGAGCAAACAGG